rnacentral:rRNA from 1 species
UGGGGAAUUUUGGACAAUGGGCGAAGCCUGAUCCAGCAAUGCCGCGUGUGUGAAGAAGGCCUUCGGGUUGUAAAGCACUUUUGUCCGGAAAGAAAUCCUUGGCUCUAAUACAGUCGGGGGAUGACGGUACCGGAAGAAUAAGCACCGGCUAACUACGUGCCAGCAGCCGCGGUAAUACGUAGGGUGCAAGCGUUAAUCGGAAUUACUGGGCGUAAAGCGUGCGCAGGCGGUUUGCUAAGACCGAUGUGAAAUCCCCGGGCUCAACCUGGGAACUGCAUUGGUGACUGGCAGGCUAGAGUAUGGCAGAGGGGGGUAGAAUUCCACGUGUAGCAGUGAAAUGCGUAGAGAUGUGGAGGAAUACCGAUGGCGAAGGCAGCCCCCUGGGCCAAUACUGACGCUCAUGCACGAAAGCGUGGGGAGCAAACAGGAUUAGAUACCCUGGUAGUCCACGCCCUAAAACGAUGUCAACUAGUUGUUGGGGAUUCAUUUCCUUAGUAACGUAGCUAACGCGUGAAGUUGACCGCCUGGGGAGUACGGUCGCAAGAUUAAAACUCAAAGGAAUUGACGGGGUCAUA